UACGGAGGAUGCAAGCGUUAUCCGGAAUGAUUGGGCGUAAAGCGUCCGCAGGUGGCUAUGUAAGUCUGCUGUUAAAGAGUGAGGCUCAACCUCAUAAGAGCAGUGGAAACUACAUGGCUAGAGUGCGUUCGGGGCAGAGGGAAUUCCUGGUGUAGCGGUGAAAUGUGUAGAGAUCCGGAGGAAUACCAGUGGCGCAAGCGGCGCCCUGGGUCGGUACUGACGCUGAGAUACGAAAGCGUGGGGAGCGAACGGG
rnacentral:rRNA from 1 species